UGCGGGAUGGUGUAACGGUAACACAUUUGGCUUUGAACCAAAAGACUCUAGGUCCGAUUCCUAGUCCCGCAG
rnacentral:tRNA from 1 species